rnacentral:rRNA from 1 species
GACGAACGCUGGCGGCGUGCUUAACACAUGCAAGUCGCACGAAGUGGCGAACGGGUGAGUAAUACGUGGGUACCCUGCCCUCCUUUUUGGGAUAAGCCUUGGAAACGGGGUCUAAUACCGAAUAAAGGGGGAUGGGCUCGCGGCCUAUCAGCUUGUUGGUGGGGUGAUGGCCUACCAAGGCGGUGACGGGUAGCCGGCCUGAGAGGGGGAACGGCCAGGGUGGGACUGAGAUACGGCCCAGACUCCUACGGGAGGCAGCAGGGGGGGAUAUUGUACAAUGGGCGGAAGCCUGAUGCAGCGACGCCGCGGGGGGGAUGAAGGCGUUCGGGUUGGAAACCGCUGUCGCGAGCGAACGGGUAGGUGGAGAAGAAGCGCCGGCUAACGACGUGCCAGCCGCCGCGGUAAUAC